CUGUUUGCUCCUGAAGAGUGUGAUACUAACACCAUCUGUCCUUUUCCUCCCAGGAAAGCUUGUGUACGAGCGCAUCUUUUCCAUGUGUGUGGAUAGCCGCAGUGUCUUACCAGGGGAAUUUCAGAGUGCCUGCCCCGGUUGACAUGCAUGAUCAGAGGGAUCGGAGACCCACUGGUGUCGGUGUAUGCCCGUGCCUACCUGUGCCGGGUGGGAAUGGAAGUGGCCCCACAUCUCAAAGAAACCCUAAAUAAGAACUUUUUUGACUUCCUCCUUACGUUCAAACAGAUUCAUGGGGAUACGGUCCAGAACCAGCUGGUGGUCCAAGGAGUGGAGCUCCCAUCUUACCUCCCCUUGUACCCGCCUGCCAUGGACUGGAUCUUCCAGUGCAUCUCCUACCAUGCCCCCGAGGCUCUGCUGACUGAGAUGAUGGAAAGGUGUAAGAAACUAGGAAACAAUGCCUUGCUGUUGAAUUCUGUGAUGUCUGCCUUCCGGGCUGAGUUCAUCGCCACAAGGUCUAUGGAUUUCAUUGGCAUGAUUAAAGAGUGUGAUGAAUCUGGUUUCCCC
rnacentral:sRNA from 1 species